AACGCGAAGAACCUUACCUGGGCUUGAAAGGUCGUCUAAACAGGUGAAAGCCUGCUACCCGCAAGGGACCUGUGUAGAGGUGCUGCAUGGCUGUCGUCAGCUCGUGCCGUGAGGUGUUGGGUUAAGUCCCGCAACGAGCGCAACCCUUACUCAUAGUUGCUACCCGCAAGGGAGAACUCUAUGAGGACUGCUCCGGAUAACGGAGAGGAAGGUGGGGAUGAGGUCAAGUCAGCAUGGCCUUUAUGUCCAGGGCUACACACGUGUUACAAUGCGCGCCACAAAGCGUCGCGAACCCGCGAGGGGGAGCUAAUCGCAAAAAAGCGCGCUCAGUUCGGAUUGCAGUCUGCAACUCGACUGCAUGAAGCCGGAAUCGCUAGUAAUGGCGCAUCAGAACGGCGCCGUGAAUACGUUCCCGGGCCUUGUACACACCGACUGUAC
rnacentral:rRNA from 1 species